GAGGCUCUCUGAAAAAUGACACCGGGUAACGUGGGAAGAGAGAAGCAGGUACUGGAGAGGACCCCUCCUGCCAAAGCCUUCGCAGAAGUGGUGCCGGGAAUGUCCCGUUCGUGGUGCCCGGGGAGGGAGUGGACCCCAUGCAAGGUGCCGGGGACACUUGUCCUGGCAGCCCCAGGGAUCCUGGAGACAGGCAGGGGCCAGGUGUGUGCCGGGGUGAGAUCGAAUUCGGAGGGUCUGGGAAGAAGCGAGGCAAGGUAAGAGGCUGCCCCUCCCUGGCCCCGCCGAGGCCCGGCCCCGCACCCUGGUGACCGGCCGCCACGUGCUCACGAAACCCCUGAGCCCCAUUUCCUCCCCUGCACCUUGAGCACUGGUACCUGCUCUCCCCGGGCCGCGCUCUCU